UACAGAGGGGGCCAGCGUUAUUCGGAAUUAUUGGGCGUAAAGGGCGCGUAGGCGGCUUUGCGUGUCUUUCGUGAAAUCCCUCGGCUCAACUGAGGACGUGCGGAAGAAACUGCAGGGCUGGAGUCCGGGAGAGGAGGGUGGAAUUCCCAGUGUAGCGGUGAAAUGCGCAGAUAUCAGGAGGAACACCGGUGGCGAAGGCGGGUCUCUGGGCCGAUAUUGACGCUGGAGGAGCGAAAGCGUGGGGAGCAAACAGG
rnacentral:rRNA from 1 species